UAGAGCUCAGUGUUGUCUCUUUUCUGUGUUUCCAUCCAGAAGUCUUGGUUUGCCUUGCUUACUGAGUAGGAAAGGCUACGGGGGGCUGGAGGGGAGCAAUUGUGACAAGUACUUUUCUUUUCCUAAUUGUAUUGCUAAAGGGAUAUGAAGUGGGGACACAACUGCAGGAUUGCACAACAGUGGUUCUUAAAAGAAAGCAGAGGACUAAAACUCACUCCUAAGGUCCUAAAGGUCACAGUCUGGAGAGUGGCUGCAUAAUGUCUCCGGUGUAACUUAGAUGCUGAGAUCAACGAGCCUCUGUGGAAACAGACAGAUAUAUCUGCAUAUAGACAAAUUGCAAGAUGAAAGUCCUAGACUCUCAGUAUUGCAAGGUGAUUGAUGGGCUGUGUCAAGACUUGACAAACAAACCAAGAAAACCUUGCAGCUUUGUGAACUUAAUAUCUAAGUGUAUGUAACUUAAAAACAUUAAAUGUUUGCAAAGCUAAGAAAUUCCUUGAGAAUUGUACAACACUUGGUUGCUGGUGGAGCCUGCAAGCCAUAAAAACCUGCAGUUAAUGAUAA